rnacentral:lncRNA from 1 species
GACCCCGCAGGCCCAGACUGGCACCAGGUCCCAGACUGGCCCGCCCCUCCUGGCGGGCCCUGGGGUGGGCCCGCCUUUCCCUCCGCCAAGACCCAGCCCAGAAACCCCCACGACCUCCUCCGGGCUCUCGGCCCUGUUUGGCCUCUGCUCUCGGCUCCCAGGAGGCUGCCUGGGCCCUCUGCCCACCCCUCACGCGCCGCUGGCACCAGCAGAGCCUCCUGCUUCUCUUUCUGUGAUGCCGCCUCGGUUGGAGCAACCAGACUGGGUCCCGGUCCAGAGCGAGGGCAGGUAAGGAAGGGGGGAAGGCAUCAGGAGAGUGAGCGGGAGAGGGAGGGCGUGCCCACUGGACCCCCCUAUGCAGGACAGGACCAGGCUAAGCAGUGGUGCCCGGCCCCUUCCUUGAAGCUGCCCCGAUUUGCUGUCUGCCCACCACUCAGGGCCUGUCCCCUGGGUCUGUCCAUCCAUCAGAGUGACAGAGUACCCCCACCCAGCAGGGCUGUGAAGUCCCCCAGGGGCUCAGGCCUUGACUGUCCAGCCUGGCUAAAGCUCGUGGAGUCCCUCUGCCCCAGGGCACCAGACAAACGUUCAGAAGUGCUGAAUGCAGGGGCUCCGCAGAGCUGGGAGGCGAGGCCCUGUGGAGCAAGGUCGUGCGCAGGCCCCGGGGAACGUGGCUGCCUCCGUGUCCCCCGCGGAGCCUCCGCGGAAGCUGGACUGCUUCCCUGGUUGCUGUGGCCCCGGCGUCAGAUCCCGGAACCCAGAACAGGAAGCCCCCAGCGGGCUCCAACCCGGGCCCCUGAGGUCUGGACGGAGCAUGGUCUACUCUCAGGACGCCCGGUCAGUGCCUCCGUGGCCUGUGCACCCACAGUGCAGGGCUCCUCCGACGGCCCAGCGGUGGCUCUGCUGGGCAGGCAGCCCUCACCUGGGCCUGGCCCCUGCGGCAGCGCUUGUGGUUGCACUUAUUCUGCCCGCCUGCCGACUCAGGGGCUGAGGAGACCCCCAGCAAGCACCCCUUGCUUAUGCGCAUGGAGACUGCACAACAGGACCCUUGGUGCUGACUCGCAGAGGAAAUGCUUAUUCCAGAGGGUCGGGAAGGACAAGAGCCCGUGUGUGCACGUGUGCACGUGA